CAGACUGGAGGAUAGCCCCUGGAAACGGGGAUUACUACUCCAUAGUAUCACGAAUUCGCAUGUUUUUGUGAUUAAAGUUUUUCGGUAUGAGAUGGGCAUGCGUCCCAUUAGCUUGUUGGUGAGGUAACGGCUCACCAAGGCAACGAUGGGUAGGGGGCCUGAGAGGGUGGUCCCCCACACUGGUACUGAGACACGGACCAAACUCCUACGGGAGGCAGCAGUGAGGAAUAUUGGUCAAUGGAGGCAACUCUGAACCAGCCAUGCCGCGUGAAGGAUGACGGCCCUAUGGGUUGUAAACUUCUUUUAUAGAGGAAGAAACUUGUCUACGUGUAGACAACUGACGGUACUCUACGAAUAAGGAUCGGCUAACUCCGUGCCAACAGCCGCGGUAAUACGGAGGAUCCAAGCGUUAUCCGGAUUCAUUGGGUUUAAAGGGUCCGUAUGCGGGUCUUUAACUCAUUGGUGAAAGCCGACAGCUCAACUGUCGAACUGCCAUUGAUA
rnacentral:rRNA from 1 species